GCACGCAGCCAUCUCCUGCACUGCAGCUCUGCUCUCUUCUUUGAUUGGUUUUAGCGGUGACGCCCCCUCCGAAUGCCUCGCUCGGAUUGGCCUACUUCUUGGAUCGGACUGGACGGUGGCCAGAGGAGGACAAGAGACUUCUAUACGGUCUGGAGGGACGAUUUGGGUCACAUCUGAGACGGCGUUGCACAUCAACAAGCGUCCAGGCUCCAGGGACAUGGCGGCGGCCUCUGUGAUGUCGGUGCUGCUGAUGGCGACUGAGAGGAACCGGUGGCAGCUAGUCCAGGGCCUGCUGCUGCUGCUGCCGCCCUGGCAACGGCGCUGACAGAAGGAAAGGGGCAUUACCAAGAGGGAACUCCUUGAUAAGAAUUGGAAGCGGGAGUCAGUUUGGGAGGAAAGCUGUGGCCAUAAACAUUGAAGAAGACAAGAAGAUUCUUUGUGACACUGAGACUUUCUAUCACACUACGGUAGAGGAAAUGGCAAAGACUGUGGCUGACCUAAUUUAAUUCCUGGAAUGAAAUGAUUAUGAAUGUAGUGCUUGCUGUUGCUGAACGGGCAAUCACAUUGUGCAUUGUGUUUCUUUUGGGGGUAAUAUGUGAAGCUUGUCUCAGUGCUCAUAACAGAUUAAAAAUACAGAUUUUGAUAGCAAAGCAACUUCAGACAUGAUUUCAUGAUAUCAUUGGUUUUAUCCUCUUGUUUCCUAGUUCUCUACACAUGGUUGUAUUAUUUGCCAUCAUUUAAUAAUAUGGACUGAAAGAUAUAAAAGCAGCUAUUUAUAAAGUUUGUCUGCCUUUACUGUAUUAGUCACUAACUGAAUAGAGCUAACUUUAAAAUGAUUUUUUAAGAAAAUACUUAAAUUUAUUUUGUUUGGUAUCAUUUUUUUCAGUAAGGCAUUUUAUUAGCAGUUAGUUGAAUGUUUAUUGAAUGUUCAAUAAAUUACAGUGAAGUAUUUUUUCUCUAAAGUUGUUUGGUCCUUAUUUUUUAAAGAUUUGUACUUCUUGCCAUAAUCCAUAUUUUCAAACAAAAAAGAUAAACUAGCAGUCUAUAGUAAUAUUUUAAUCUAGUUAUAAAAUUAUACACAAAGGAUACAACAAACAUGGCUUUUCAUAAAAAGGUUUAAUAGUUCCAAGUUAGCUGCUGCUUGGCAGUAGUAUAAAGACUGAUCAAUUGCAGAGUUCACC
ensembl:lncRNA